rnacentral:rRNA from 1 species
UACGUAGGGUGCGAGCGUUAAUCGGAAUUACUGGGCGUAAAGCGUGCGCAGGCGGUUCGUUAAGUUCGUCGUGAAAGCCCCGGGCUCAACCUGGGAAUGGCGAUGGAAACUGCCUUGCUAGAGUAUGGGAGAGGGAAGUGGAAUUUCCGGUGUAGCGGUGAAAUGCGUAGAUAUCGGAAGGAACAUCAGUGGCGAAGGGCGACUUCCUGGACCAAUACUGACGCUCAGGUGCGAAAGCGUGGGGAGCAAACGGG